rnacentral:rRNA from 1 species
UUUGUCCAGGGGGCCGCCUUCGCCACCGGUAUUCCUCCAGAUCUCUACGCAUUUCACCGCUACACCUGGAAUUCUACCCCCCUCUACAAGACUCUAGUUUGCCAGUU